UUAAAACGAGAAGUACGGAUUUACGAAGACAAGCCAAAAUAGGUUGGUGAAGUGCAAAAAAAAUCAAAAAAAAAUUCGAAAAAAAAUUCAAGUUGUAUUGCAAGUUUCCCAUUGUUUCUGAAGUAUUGAAAAAAAAACCAAAAUUAAAAAAAAAAAAGGAGUGUUGGAAAUUUCCCGAUUCACAAAGAAUAGAUUUUCUGCCCCCAUCUCUUCUACCUCAACGCCACACUCAACCUACCCUAUUCAUAUUCAUUUUUUCCCUUUGUUUCCC
rnacentral:lncRNA from 1 species